UGUGGAUGAAGAUUUGGAACGACCUGCGCGAUGGCGAGCAGAGCUGGCGAGUAAACACAAGUGGACUACUGGACAAGUGGAAAAAACUUGGACCCGAAGACCUGAUUGUCAAAGACUGGAACGCGCUCCCGGUCGCGUACUUGACCACGUUUGGCUGUGCGUAUGUGAGCAGUCUUUCUCACAUCUGAAAAACAUAAAGACGAAGCUACCAUUAACGGACGGAAGCCUCAACGCCUGCAUGAAGCGUAACCUCACCACGUAUCAACCGGACUACAAGGCCGUCAGCAAAACCAUGCAGCCCCAGAAGUCGCAUUAAUGAGACCUCUGUAGACCGAGCCGGAGAACAGAGGGAAGAGGAGGAUUAACGUUAAAAUAAUAAGGUGACAAAAAAUGGGAGGACAACUAAACAUGCAGCCACUUUGAACUUGGUGUUGCCGCGAGGAUAGUUGUUGAGGGAGAAGGUCAGGAUGAAUGCCUCCGCAUUGGUGAAGUCGUCAUCUGAGAAGAACAAGACAAGAAAGGUGCAGUUGAGUCGCCUGUUUGUGUUUGUCGCUCUGGAAUUUAAUGUGCUGAAGACAGUGCUGAAAGUCACUCACUCUCAUAGCCUCCCACAGCCAAAAAGGGGAAGACUGGAGCUCCAUAAUCAGCCAUGCAGCUCAUUCCUAAAUCAGUGAUGUCCUUGAAGGACAGGGGAGAGCUUGAGAUACAAGAGGAGAAGGGAAGGUUAGGUUAAUGUACCUGAGCAACUAUGGAGGAAGCAGCGCUGAUUUGAAAUUCAUUUGGUCAAUCCUUACUUGAAGCAGUAGAUUAAAUGGUCCCUCCAGUCCACCUCUUUGGUCACUCCCAGCUCUGUCAUGUUCACCUUAUC